rnacentral:lncRNA from 1 species
CCCAUGAUGCUAUUUCUUUCUACUACUUCUGUGAAAGGCAAUCAUUUGCUGGGUUUCAAGAGAGCAGAGAUAUCAUUGACAGACUUGUAGAAAAACCAACUCUGCACAAUUCAAAUAUUUGUGUAAAUUCAAGCACCGUUUCAUUUAUGGAGUCAUCCGUGAAGACAAAAAUAUCUUAUUGAGGAGGAAGAGAUGUUCAGCCCUGAUUAAUUCCUCUGGAUGUUAUUGUCAUUUACAAAGCAUGAUGACAUGCACCUACCUUAGUGACCUCUUUACCACCCCUCCACCUCAGGCCCUGAGGACGGUUGGCAGAUGAUUCACCAGCAAGCCCUUCUGCCAAGAUUUCUCAUUCUCAAUUCAGAUCUCUGGCUCUGAUUAUUGUUAGGACAUUUCCUUCUGAAUGUUCUACUGCAUAUGAAAUUUGUAUAAAACCAAACUCAUGAGGUUUUAGUUAAUACUCCCCCUUCCUGAGUGACUUCCCUACCAAGCCUCCAGACUCAGUACUAGAGCUCUUUGUCUCCCCUCUGUCCUGCAUGUCCAAGUGUCGCCACCCACUAGGCCAUUUCCCCCUGUGUUAUCUCUCAGAUGGUCCCUAAUCCAGCCUUCAUCAUCUCACACCCAGACUAGUUCUGAAACUUUGUACUUGUUCUGUCUUCUCUCUGUAGGAAGCAAGGAAGCGGAACAAAAGUAUUUGAACAUUAUUUGAAUCACAAAGUUUCUUUGCUCUGGAGCCCAGAAUGACUCUCUGGGCACUGCUGUAUCAAAGUUCAAGUCCUCAGCUUACACUCAUGACCCUCUCAGUUUCUCUCCCUGGACUUCCUC